rnacentral:sRNA from 1 species
UGCAUCUGAAGCCUGACGAGGAUGAGAACCUCCGGGGGCAAGAGGUUCGACCCGAGCGAAGCGAGAGAACGUUGCGUCAGCAACGGCCCGCAGGGCGAGCCAC